GACCCCAGGUCAGGCGGG
rnacentral:ncRNA from 17 species